rnacentral:rRNA from 1 species
AUUGAACGCUGGCGGCAGGCCUAACACAUGCAAGUCGAGCGGAUGAAGGGAGCUUGCUCCUGGAUUCAGCGGCGGACGGGUGAGUAAUGCCUAGGAAUCUGCCUGGUAGUGGGGGAUAACGUCCGGAAACGGGCGCUAAUACCGCAUACGUCCUGAGGGAGAAAGUGGGGGAUCUUCGGACCUCACGCUAUCAGAUGAGCCUAGGUCGGAUUAGCUAGUUGGUGGGGUAAAGGCCUACCAAGGCGACGAUCCGUAACUGGUCUGAGAGGAUGAUCAGUCACACUGGAACUGGGACACGGUCCAGACUCCUACGGGAGGCAGCAGUGGGGAAUAUUGGACAAUGGGCGAAAGCCUGAUCCAGCCAUGCCGCGUGUGUGAAGAAGGUCUUCGGAUUGUAAAGCACUUUAAGUUGGGAGGAAGGGCAGUAAGUUAAUACCUUGCUGUUUUGACGGUACCAACAGAAUAAGCACCGGCUAACUUCGUG